UGGGGAAUAUUGGACAAGGGGCGCAAGCCUGAUCCAGCCAUGCCGCGUGAGUGAUGAAGGCUCUAGGGUUGUAAAGCUCUUUCACCGGUGAAGAUAAUGACGGUAAUCGGAGAAGAAGCCCCGGCUAACUUCGUGCCAGCAGCCGCGGUAAUACGAAGGGGGCUAGCGUUGUUCGGAUUUACUGGGCGUAAAGCGCACGUAGGCGGGCUAUUAAGUCAGGGGUGAAAUCCCGGGGCUCAACCCCGGAACUGCCUUUGAUACUGGUAGUCUUGAGUACGAGAGAGGUGGGUGGAAUUCCGAGUGUAGAGGUGAAAUUCGUAGAAAAUCGGGGGAAAACCAGUGGCGAAGACGGCUCACUGGCUCGAUACUGACGCUGAGGUGCGAAAGCGUGGGGGGCAAACAGG
rnacentral:rRNA from 1 species